UCCCUGGCAGCUCAGUCGGUAAAGAAUCUGCCUGCAGUGCAGGAAACCUGGGUUCGACCCCCAGGUUGGGAA
rnacentral:tRNA from 1 species